AACGAACGCUGGCGGCAGGCCUAACACAUGCAAGUCGAACGAAGUCUUCGGACUUAGUGGCGCACGGGUGAGUAACACGUGGGAAUAUACCUUACGCUGGGGGAUAACAUCGGGAAACUGAUGCUAAUACCGCAUACGCCCUUCGGGGGUAAGAUUUAUGGGCGAAUGAUUAGCCCGCGUCCGAUUAGCUAGUUGGUGAUGUAAUGGCUCGCCAAGGCUCCGUUCGGUAGCUGGUCUGAGAGGAUGACCAGCCACGCUGGGGCUGAGACACGGCCCAGACUCCUACGGGAAGGAGCAGUGGGGAAUAUCGGGCAAUGGGGGCAAGCGUGAUCCAGCCAUGCGGGGUGAGUGAUGAAGGCCUUAGGGUUGUAAAGCUCUUUCAGCCACGACGAUGAUGACGGUAGUGGGAGAAGAAGCCCCGGCUAACUUCGUG
rnacentral:rRNA from 1 species